rnacentral:rRNA from 1 species
GACGAACGCUGGCGGCGUGCUUAACACAUGCAAGUCGAACGGAAAGGCCCUGCUUUCGUGGGGCGCUCGUGUGGCGAACGGGUGUGUAACACGUGUGUACCCUGCUCUUGACCUUGGGAUACCUUCAGGAAACUGUGGCUAAUACCGGAUAGGAGCUCCUGCGGCAUGGGGGGGGUUGGAUAGUUUCGGCGGUUGGGGAUGGACUCGCGGCUUAUCAGCUGGUUGGUGGGGUAGUGGCUUACCAAGGCUUUGACGGGUAGCCGGCUUGGGAGGGUGACCGGCCACAUUGGGACUGGGAUACGGCCCGGCCUCCAACGGGAGGCAGCAGUGGGGAAUAUGGCACAAGGGGCGGAGGCCUGAGGCAGCAAGGCGGGGGGCGGGUUAACGGCCUUGGGUUGGUAACCCGCUUUCGCCUGUGACGAGGCGUUAGUGACGGUAAUGGGUAAAGAAGCACCGGCUAACUACGUG